GAUAAGCGAAGAACCUUACCAGGGCUUGACCUAGCGGUAGUAGAACCCUGAAAGGGGAACGACCUCAAGCUUUGCUUGAGGAGCCGUGGCAGGUAUUGCAUGGCUGUCGUCAGCUCGUGUCGUGGGACGUUGGGUUAAGUCCCGUAACGAGCGCAACCCCUGCCCUUAAUUGCCAGCGGGUUAAUGCCGGGGACUAUAAGGGGACUGCCGGAGAAUAUCCGGAGGAAGGAGGGGAUGACGUCAAGUCAUUAUGAUCCUUAUGCUCUGGGCGACACACGUGCUACAAUGGCCACUACAGUGAGGAGCCAAUCCGCAAGGACGAGCAAAUCUCAAAAAGGUGGCCUCAGUGCGGAUUGGGGUCUGCAACCCGACCCCAUGAAGAUGGAAUCGGUAGUAAUCGCGGGUCAGCCACACCGCGGUGAAUAUGUACUUGGGCCUUG
rnacentral:rRNA from 1 species